AGUAGCAUAUCAAUAAGCGGAGGAAAAGAAACUAACAAGGAUUCCCCUAGUAACUGCGAGUGAAGCGGGAAAAGCUCAAAUUUAAAAUCUGGCGGUCUCUGGCCGUCCGAGUUGUAAUAUAGAGAAGUGAUGCCCGCGCUGGACCGUGUACAAGUCUCCUGGAAUGGAGCGUCAUAGAGGGUGAGAAUCCCGUCUCUGACACGGACUACCAGGGCUUUGUGGUACGCUCUCAAAGAGUCGAGUUGUUUGGGAAUGCAGCUCAAAAUGGGUGGUAAAUUCCAUCUAAAGCUAAAUAUUGGCGAGAGACCGAUAGCGAACAAGUACCGUGAGGGAAAGAUGAAAAGAACUUUGGAAAGAGAGUUAAACAGUACGUGAAAUUGCUGAAAGGGAAACGCUUGAAGUCAGUCGCGUUGGCCGGGGAUCAGCCUCGCUUUUGCGUGGUGUACUUUCCGGUUGACGGGUCAGCAUCAAUUUUGACCGCUGGAAAAAGGCUUGAGGAAUGUGGCAGCUCCGGCUGUGUUAUAGCUUCUUGUCACAUACAGCGGUUGGGAUUGAGGUACUCAGCACGCCGCAAGGCCGGGUUUCGACCACGUUCGUGCUUAGGAUGCUGGCAUAAUGGCUUUAAGCGACCCGUCUUGAAACACGGACCAAGGAGUCUAACAUGCCUGCGAGUGUUUGGGUGGAAAACCCGAGCGCGUAAUGAAAGUGAAAGUUGAGAUCCCUGUCGCGGGGAGCAUCGACGCCCGGACCAGAACUUUUGGGACGGAUCCGCGGUAGAGCAUGUAUGUUGGGACCCGAAAGAUGGUGAACUAUGCCUGAAUAGGGUGAAGCCAGAGGAAACUCUGGUGGAGGCUCGUAGCGAUUCUGACGUGCAAAUCGAUCGUCAAAUUUGGGUAUAGGGGCGAAAGACUAAUCGAACCAUCUAGUAGCUGGUUCCUGCGU
rnacentral:rRNA from 1 species